rnacentral:rRNA from 1 species
UGCCAGCCGCCGCGGUAAUACGUAAUCCCCAAGCGUUACCCGGAAUUACUGGGUGUAAAGGGUUCGUAGGUGGAUUAAUAAGUUGGACAUGAAAGACCGAGGCUCAACCUCGUGUUUGUAUUCAAAACUGUUAAUCUAGAAUUAGGAAGAGGUAAGCGGAAUUCUAAGUGUAGGGGUGCAAUCCGUAGAUACUUAGAAGAACACCAAAAGCGAAGGCAGCUUACUGGUACUAUAUUGACACUGAGGAACGAAAGCGUGGGUAGCGAAAAGGAUUAGAUA